UGGCGGACGGGUGAGUAAUGUCUGGGAAACUGCCCGAUGGAGGGGGAUAACUACUGGAAACGGUAGCUAAUACCGCAUAACGUCGCAAGACCAAAGAGGGGGACCUUCGGGCCUCUUGCCAUCGGAUGUGCCCAGAUGGGAUUAGCUAGUAGGUGGAGUAACGGCUCACCUAGGCAACGAUCCCUAGCUGGUCUGAGAGGAUGACCAGCCACACUGGAACUGAGACACGGUCCAG
rnacentral:rRNA from 1 species